rnacentral:rRNA from 1 species
UACGUAGGUGGCAAGCGUUGUCCAGAUUUAUUGGGUUUAAAGGGUGCGUAGGCGGUUUCAUAAGUCAGUGGUGAAAUACGGCAGCUCAACUGUCGAGGUGCCAUUGAUACUGUGAGACUUGAGUACAGACGAGGUAGGCGGAAUUGACGGUGUAGCGGUGAAAUGCUUAGAUAUCGUCAAGAACACCGAUAGCGAAGGCAGCUUACUAGGCUGUAACUGACGCUGAGGCACGAAAGUGUGGGGAUCAAACAGG